ACCCAGUGUGUUUCGACACACUAUCAUUAACUGAAUCCAUAGGUUAAUGAGGCGAACCGGGGGAACUGAAACAUCUAAGUACCCCGAGGAAAAGAAAUCAACCGAGAUUCCCCCAGUAGCGGCGAGCGAACGGGGAGGAGCCCAGAGCCUGAAUCAGUGUGUGUGUUAGUGGAAGCGUCUGGAAAGGCGCGCGAUACAGGGUGACAGCCCCGUACACAAAAAUGCACAUAUUGUGAGCUCGAUGAGUAGGGCGGGACACGUGGUAUCCUGUCUGAAUAUGGGGGGACCAUCCUCCAAGGCUAAAUACUCCUGACUGACCGAUAGUGAACCAGUACCGUGAGGGAAAGGCGAAAAGAACCCCGGCGAGGGGAGUGAAAAAGAACCUGAAACCGUGUACGUACAAGCAGUGGGAGCCUCUUAAUGGGGUGACUGCGUACCUUUUGUAUAAUGGGUCAGCGACUUAUAUUCUGUAGCAAGGUUAACCGAAUAGGGGAGCCGAAGGGAAACCGAGUCUUAACUGGGCGUUAAGUUGCAGGGUAUAGACCCGAAACCCGGUGAUCUAGCCAUGGGCAGGUUGAAGGUUGGGUAACACUAACUGGAGGACCGAACCGACUAAUGUUGAAAAAUUAGCGGAUGACUUGUGGCUGGGGGUGAAAGGCCAAUCAAACCGGGAGAUAGCUGGUUCUCCCCGAAAGCUAUUUAGGUAGCGCCUCGUGAAUUCAUCUCCGGGGGUAGAGCACUGUUUCGGCAAGGGGGUCAUCCCGACUUACCAACCCGAUGCAAACUGCGAAUACCGGAGAAUGUUAUCACGGGAGACACACGGCGGGUGCUAACGUCCGUCGUGAAGAGGGAAACAACCCAGACCGCCAGCUAAGGUCCCAAAGUCAUGGUUAAGUGGGAAA
rnacentral:rRNA from 1 species